UACGUAGGGCGCAAGCGUUAUCCGGAAUUAUUGGGCGUAAGGAGCUCGUAGGCGGUUUGUCGCGUCUGCCGUGAAAGUCCGGGGCUCAACUCCGGAUCUGCGGUGGGUACGGGCAGACUAGAGUGAUGUAGGGGAGACUGGAAUUCCUGGUGUAGCGGUGAAAUGCGCAGAUAUCAGGAGGAACACCGAUGGCGAAGGCAGGUCUCUGGGCAUUAACUGACGCUGAGGAGCGAAAGCGUGGGGAGCGAACAGG
rnacentral:rRNA from 1 species